rnacentral:rRNA from 1 species
UACGUAGGGAGCAAGCGUUGUUCGGAUUUACUGGGCGUAAAGGGCGCGUAGGCGGCAGAUUAAGUCAGCUGUGAAAUCUCCGAGCUUAACUCGGAACUGUCAGCUGAUACUGUUUUGCUAGAGUGCGGAAGGGGCAAUCGGAAUUCUUGGUGUAGCGGUGAAAUGCGUUGAUAUCAUCAGGAACACCGGAGGCGAAGGCGGCCCACUGGGUCUUUUCUGACGCUGAGGGACGAAAGCUAGGGGAGCGAACGGG